rnacentral:rRNA from 1 species
CCGGUGAUCUAGCCAUGGGCAGGUUGAAGGUUGAGUAACAUCAACUGGAGGACCGAACCCACUAACGUUGAAAAGUUAGGGGAUGACCUGUGGCUAGGAGUGAAAGGCUAAUCAAACCGGGAGAUAGCUGGUUCUCCCCGAAAUCUAUUUAGGUAGAGCCUCGGACGAAUACUUACGGGGGUAGAGCACUGUUAAGGCUAGGGGGUCAUCCCGACUUACCAACCCUUUGCAAACUCCGAAUACCGUAAAGUACUAUCCGGGAGACACACGGCGGGUGCUAACGUCCGUCGUGAAGAGGGAAACAACCCAGACCGCCAGCUAAGGUCCCAAAGUCAUAGUUAAGUGGGAAACGAUGUGGAAAGGCCCAGACAGCCAGGAGGUUGGCUUAGAAGCAGCCAUCCUUUAAAGAAAGCGUAAUAGCUCACUGGUCGAGUCGGUCUGCGCGGAAGAUGUAACGGGGCUAAACUAUGCACCGAAGCUGCGGAUUCAAAAUUUAUUUUGAGUGGUAGGGGAGCGUUCUGUAAGCGGUUGAAGGUGUACCGGGAGGUAUGCUGGACGUAUCAGAAGUGCGAAUGCUGACAUGAGUAACGAUAAUGCGGGUGAAAAACCCGCACGCCGGAAGACCAAGGGUUCCUAUCCCAUGUUAAUCAGGGUAGGGUAAGUCGACCCCUAAGGCGAGGCCGAAAGGCGUAGUCGAUGGGAAACGGAUUAAUAUUUCCGUACUUGGUAUAAUUGCGAUGGGGGGACGGAGCAGGCUAAGCAAGCAUGGCGUUGGUAGUCCAUGUGAAAGUGAGUAGGCUAGCGACUUAGGUAAAUCCGGGUUGCUAUUAGGCUGAGACACGAGACGAGUCACUAAGGUGAUGAAGUUGCUGAUGCCAUACUUCCAGGAAAAGCCUCUAAGCUUCAGAUUAUACCGAAUCGUACCCCAAACCGACACAGGUGGUCAGGUAGAGAAUACUAAGGCGCUUGAGAGAACUCGGGUGAAGGAACUAGGCAAAAUCGUACCGUAACUUCGGGAGAAGGUACGCUCCUAUCUGUGAUGAGACUUGCUCUCUAAGCGGACGGGAGCCGCAGUGACCAGGUG